rnacentral:misc_RNA from 1 species
CCUUUCAAUGCAGCAGAAUUGGGAUGGUUGAGUUUCUCGCCUCUCCAUUCUGCCUGUAUUCUACCCUUGUUUGUCAUAUACUAUUAUUUCCUCGGCAGGCUUGCCUGCCGAGUGAAACCCAUUAUAACCUAUUUAAUUUUCAAUCAGCGUCUGAAAAAAAUUAAUAAUUA